GUUGCUAUAGCUCAGUGGUAUGAGCAUACGAUUGCAAUUCAGUCAUCGUGGGGUCCCGUGUUCGAACCACGGUAGCAACU